rnacentral:rRNA from 1 species
GACGAACGCUGGCGGCGUGCCUAAUACAUGCAAGUUGAGCGCUGAAGGUUGGUACUUGUACCAACUGGAUGAGCAGCGAACGGGUGAGUAACGCGUGGGGAAUCUGCCUUUGAGCGGGGGACAACAUUUGGAAACGAAUGCUAAUACCGCAUAAAAACUUUAAACACAAGUUUUAAGUUUGAAAGAUGCAAUUGCAUCACUCAAAGAUGAUCCCGCGUUGUAUUAGCUAGUUGGUGAGGUAAAGGCUCACCAAGGCGAUGAUACAUAGCCGACCUGAGAGGGUGAGCGGCCACAUUGGGACUGAGACACGGCCCAAACUCCUACGGGAGGCAGCAGUAGGGAAUCUUCGGCAAUAGACGAAAGUCUGACCGAGCAACGCCGCGGGAGUGAAGAAGGUUUUCGGAUCGUAAAACUCUGUUGGUAGAGAAGAACGUUGGUGAGAGUGGAAAGCUCAUCAAGUGACGGUAACUACCCAGAAAGGGACGGCUAACUACGUG